rnacentral:siRNA from 1 species
AUGUUUUCGAGCCUGUGUGCUUA